GAUGAACGCUGGCGACGUGCCUAAUACAUGCGAGUCGAGCGAACAGACGAGGAGCUUGCUCCUCUGACGUUAGCGGCGGACGGGUGAGUAACACGUGGAUAACCUACCUAUAAGACUGGGAUAACUUCGGGAAACCGGAGCUAAUACCGGAUAAUAUAUUGAACCGCAUGGUUCAAUAGUGAAAGACGGUUUUGCUGUCACUUAUAGAUGGAUCCGCGCCGCAUUAGCUAGUUGGUAAGGUAACGGCUUACCAAGGCAACGAUGCGUAGCCGACCUGAGAGGGUGAUCGGCCACACUGGAACUGAGACACGGUACAGACUCCUACGGGAGGAAGCAGUAGGGAAUCUUCCGCAAUGGGCGAAAGCUUGACGGAGCAACGCCGCGUGAGUGAUGAAGGUCUUCGGAUCGUAAAACUCUGUUAUUAGGGAAGAACAAAUGUGUAAGUAACUAUGCACGUCUUGACGGUACCUAAUCAGAAAGCCACGGCUAACUACGUG
rnacentral:rRNA from 1 species